UGCUACAGGCUUAACACAUGCAAGUCGAGGGGCAGCAUGGUCUUAGCUUGCUAAGGCCGAUGGCGACCGGCGCACGGGUGAGUAACACGUAUCCAACCUGCCGUCUACUCUUGGACAGCCUUCUGAAAGGAAGAUUAAUACAAGAUGGCAUCAUGAGUCCGCAUGUUCACAUGAUUAAAGGUAUUCCGGUAGACGAUGGGGAUGCGUUCCAUUAGAUAGUAGGCGGGGUAACGGCCCACCUAGUCUUCGAUGGAUAGGGGUUCUGAGAGGAAGGUCCCCCACAUUGGAACUGAGACACGGUCCAAACUCCUACGGGAGGCAGCAGUGAGGAAUAUUGGUCAAUGGGCGAGAGCCUGAACCAGCCAAGUAGCGUGAAGGAUGACUGCCCUAUGGGUUGUAAACUUCUUUUAUAAAGGAAUAAAGUCGGGUAUGGAUACCCGUUUGCAUGUACUUUAUGAAUAAGGAUCGGCUAACUCCGUGCCAGCAGCCGCGGUAAUACGGAGGAUCCGAGCGUUAUCCGGAUUUAUUGGGUUUAAAGGGAGCGUAGAUGGAUGUUUAAGUCAGUUGUGAAAGUUUGCGGCUCAACCGUAAAAUUGCAGUUGAUACUGGAUAUCUUGAGUGCAGUUGAGGCAGGCGGAAUUCGUGGUGUAGCGGUGAAAUGCUUAGAUAUCACGAAGAACUCCGAUUGCGAAGGCAGCCUGCUAAGCUGCAACUGACAUUGAGGCUCGAAAGUGUGGGUAUCAAACAGGAUUAGAUACCCUGGUAGUCCACACGGUAAACGAUGAAUACUCGCUGUUUGCGAUAUACAGCAAGCGGCCAAGCGAAAGCGUUAAGUAUUCCACCUGGGGAGUACGCCGGCAACGGUGAAACUCAAAGGAAUUGACGGGGGCCCGCACAAGCGGAGGAACAUGUGGUUUAAUUCGAUGAUACGCGAGGAACCUUACCCGGGCUUAAAUUGCAGAUGAAUUACGGUGAAAGCCGUAAGCCGCAAGGCAUCUGUGAAGGUGCUGCAUGGUUGUCGUCAGCUCGUGCCGUGAGGUGUCGGCUUAAGUGCCAUAACGAGCGCAACCCUUGUUGUCAGUUACUAACAGGUUCCGCUGAGGACUCUGACAAGACUGCCAUCGUAAGAUGUGAGGAAGGUGGGGAUGACGUCAAAUCAGCACGGCCCUUACGUCCGGGGCUACACACGUGUUACAAUGGGGGGUACAGAGGGCCGCUACCACGCGAGUGGAUGCCAAUCCCCAAAACCUCUCUCAGUUCGGACUGGAGUCUGCAACCCGACUCCACGAAGCUGGAUUCGCUAGUAAUCGCGCAUCAGCCACGGCGCGGUGAAUACGUUCCCGGGCCUUGUACACACCGCCCGUCAAGCCAUGGGAGCCGGGGGUACCUGAAGUGCGUAACCGCGAGGAGCGCCCUAGGGUAAAACUGGUGACUG
rnacentral:rRNA from 1 species